UAUUUUAUACUGUAUACAUAGUGUUCGUAUAGACAGACUGUAACAAGGCAAGAAUAAAAAGAUUGCAACUGUCAAGAGGAACAUGCAUUUUCUGCUCCCAGUGACAAGCAACGGCCCACAUCCAGAGUUUAUUUACAGGAAAGAUCAGAUGGGAAUUCUCCAAACCCUCAGGCAACAAGCCGGCUUUAAAGGCUGAAAACAAGCACUGACAUUCAAUUAUGGGGAACGCCUGAUGGCAGCCAUGCAGGGAGAAUGUAACAUUGUUCUGUCCUUGGGUUCCAGCAGGGAGCAGAGUGUUACUAUGCACACAGCUGAGAAAAACGCUGGCCUAUUUAGCUAAAUAGAUUGCCCAAGCAUUUAGCCACAAAACACUACUUUCACUGACAACCAAUCACCAUCGGCCAUUCAGUGAAAUUGCUGUGAUUGAUUUUAAAAGUAAGCGAUCGAUCUAUCACGGCAUGGUGCAAUAAAAGGACAUCUGCUGUGCCAGGGAUAAAAUUAUGAAUACCACAACUACACCCUCACACUGCUGAUUUAGCGAGAUACCAGGGAGCAGAAUGCCAGUAACCUCUUGAUUUAACA